CAGGUCUUGGAGUAGUAGGAAGUAGUUCCUCUCCACCCCGCUACCUUUCGCGGUUGCGGAAGGGGUGGAGAUCGCCCACGGGGUCUGCCUUUCUGAGCGCCAGAUCAAUAUCUGGUUCCAGAACCGUCGCAUGAAGUGGAAAAAAGACCACAAGUUGCCCAACACCAAGAUCCGCUCGGGCAGCACUGCGGGUGCAGCUGAAGCGCCCCCCGGCCGGCCCCAAGCAGGCUCCCCCGCGCUUUAGUGCCCCCCGCGCGGGCGCCGCGGACUCGGGGCGGGGGCGGGCAGCGGGGGGAGCCGGGGAGGGCCCGGAGCAGCCCGCCGCCCUCCCCCCACCCCAACUUUGUAGGAAUAAACGCAGACAAGGAGGGGUAGGGAAAGCUUUAUUUAUAGAAAUGACCGAGGGCCCCCACACACCCGAAGCAAGGUUCAAGUCUCUUGCUUUCUUCCUUAAAAAAAAAAAAAAAAAAAGAAGAAGAAGAAGGGGAAAAGGAAGAAAGAAAAAGACAGAAAGAGCAAUAGGAGGAGGCUGCAGCUCCUGUUCCCAGCGUUGGCGAAGAUGGACGGGCCUCGGUGGCGACCAUUACCUCGACACCCAGCUAACAAAUGAGGCCCGGCCCGGCCGCCGCCGCUGCCGCCGCUCCUGGAAGGCUGCCUGGAUUUCCUUUCUUUGUCCCCAGCCCCGACACGCAGCGAAAGCAGCCUCUGACUGCCAGAUAGCGCGGUGUUGUGGCCACGGUAACAAACACGCACAGCCUCCCUCCCCCUCCUUGCCGCGGCUGCUCGCCCCCUUCCACCUGGGCUGCAGCGGGAGACAGAGGAAGGGGACAGGGAUUGGGGGCGGGGAGAUUGAGGCCAGGAUUUGGGGCGGGGGCGGGGGGGGGGGGCGGGAGAAAAAGGGAACCCAGGAGGGCCUUCCUCUGGAGGGCCGGGCCUGGCGGGGCACAGGGCUGCGGGCUCCAGGGGCCUUGCCUCCGUGGCUGAAAAUGAGCGUGAAACUAGGAGGCGAAUGCCCUGCCCCACCUCGCCGGUGUGCACUGCCUGGCAGAGCCCCUCCUACAGUUUGACCUUGUUGCAUCGUUUAUUUUAUUAUUAUUAUUAUUAUUAAUAUUAUUAUUAUUACUAUUAUUUUAUGCCAUACGUGUCCUCCUGUUCUCUCUCUGACAUUCCAAGCUGGGAUGUGCCCCUCAACCCCCACCUCAGGGGCUGCCUGGGUCUAGAACCUUUCGUUGGCGUGAAAAUGUGUGUCAUGUACAGAGUGACAAUAGAAAUAAAUGUUUGGUUUCUUGUGACCA
rnacentral:lncRNA from 1 species